rnacentral:lncRNA from 1 species
UCGUAAGAUUUUCUCCUCUCUCUUCUAUCUAUCUCCUUCUCAUACUCUCUCUUCUCUCCUCUUCUCUUCUCUCUCUCUCUCUCUCUCUCUCUUCUCUCUCUCUCUCUCUCUCUCUCUCUCUCUCUCUCUCUCUCUCUCUGUGGAAACAGCACCUGAAGUCCACUCACUGCUGUGCAGCAGGGAUCCCAUGGCAGAGCAAGUGAAUGGCUGCUAAUUGAAUGAGAGAUGAAAAGGACAGUAGUUGUACCUGCUCAGUGUCCUCCUCCUACUACUUGGUUUUUCAUUCAACUUUUUUUCUCCUCCACAUUUACAAACGCCCUUCUCCUCACAAAGAAACUCACUCUUCAGACGUUUUAACAAAAUUGGUGGUUGCCUUAAGAAAAUUGGCAAAAUCUUCAGGAAUGAAAAUACUUGGCUUCAGCGUAGAGGUGACAGUCUUGAGUAGAACAUAAGUUUUUCAUGCAGUGGCAGAAACAUCUAGCUGAAUGUUUCCAGCUUUUGAGAGGUCAUGCAACAAAACAUACUGUACUGUACAUAUUUGUGGACUUGGAAGGACAUUACAGGACAGAUGAACAGUUUUGCCAGCAUGAAAACUUGCAGAGGUCACACCAGGAUUCAUACCUCUUGAUGCAGCUGGUCAGGAAUGCCAACAUGGAGAUGAAAAGCAGCGAUCUUACUGUUGACAAAGCACACACGUUGUCUGUAGCCAAUUCCUCUGAACCUGUUUAGCCCGGACCACAUAUGCAAAACGGCACCUCUACACCUGCAACAACAGUCGAUUAGACUCGCAUCAUUAGAGUCUGAUUGUCAGUCUUUGUGGAUGUGGACAGGUAAGUUGGAGCCGCUUCUAAAAGGUAAGUUUAACAGAUUGAAUCAAUUUAAGAGCUGUCUGAAGUGUAAAAUUGUGCUGCUGAGCAAUAUUUUCCAAAAUUAGUUUCAUUAGACAUGAAUUACUAUAUUUGAGAGCAAUUUUAGGUCGGAGAUUGGAUGAGACCCCAAGGGUUCCUUCUUUUCACGUAGUAAUUUACAUUCAAGUAUUUGACUGGAAAAUCGUUUGACAAGAGUUUGUCGCUGUAAUUACUUUCCUCUUUUCUGUGGGACAUUAUGUACACAUACAUAACCUAUUCAUACAAUCUUUUUCAUACUAUAAUGAACUCAUUUAUUGUAAAAUGAUUGCACAAUCCCCAAAGUGUUUGCCCUGAUAUGAUAUAUAUAUAUAUUUUUUCAAUAAAGUUGAACAAUUUGUCAAAUAAAAAUC